GCUGGGCAUGGUAGUGCGUGCCUGUAAUCCCAGCUACUUGGGAGGCUGAGGUGGGAGGAUCACUUGAACCUGGGAUGUCGAGGCUGCAGUGAGCCGUGGUCAUACCACUGCACUCCAGCCUGGGCAACAGAGCGAGACCCUGUCUCAA
rnacentral:SRP_RNA from 1 species